UGAAACUCUCUCUUUUUCUCUACAUCACCAAAUAUUUUCUCUUAAGUGUUAGAAAGAACAAAGAGAGAUUUAAGAUAUAUUGAGUGAGAUUUUGAUCAAAGUUCCAAGACAGAAAGUGUAGAUCACAACUUGGUGAAGCUUUUGGUAUGAGCAAAGUGGGUUAAGAGGAUUAGCCGGAUUGGGGACUUUUUCGAGAGAGACGGAUUUGCUCGCAUAGCGUAAGUUGAUUGUGUUGGAAGCUUGCUGAGAGACGACGAAACCACGAACGAAGCACGUAGUUGAAGUGGAACCACCAGAUCUCUUCUCUCCAUUUCCGUUAUUUGUACCUUCUUCUUCUUCGAUCUCAUCUCUCCUCAAGCUAGGGGAGAAGCUUAUGGUUCUAUUUUCUUCAUCAAUAGUCAAUUAAUCAAUUCAUUUACACUAGAUCAUCCAACAAUGAGG